ACCUUGUGGACCGUCACUGCUUGCGCUCCCCCACUCUUUGCCAACGCGGUCUUGCACAAAUUGAGCUCCACCUCGAGCUUAUCGACCUUCUCUAGGCAUUGGACAAGCAACUUCUUGAGAGCCUCAUUAUCCCUUGAUAAAUUGUCGGCGAGAACAUUCAAGGCACCUUGCAUCUCCUCGCGAAGCUCUCCGUCGUCCCCCUUGGAC
rnacentral:lncRNA from 1 species